CAGUCGCCGCGGUAAAACGGGGGGGCAAGUGUUAUUCGGAAUGACUGGGCGUAAAGGGCACGUAGGCGGUGAAAAGGGUGGAAAGUGGAAGUCGCCAAAACACUGGCGGGGUGCUUUCUUGACCAUUUCACUUGAGUGAGAUAGGGGAGAGUGGAAUUUCGUGUGGAGGGAUCAAAUCCUAAUAUAUACGAAGGAACGCCAACCGCGAAGGCAGCUCUCUGGGUCCCCACCGACGCUGGGGUGCGAAAGCAUGGGGAGCAAACAGGAUCAGAUACCCGAGUAGUCCCUGUCUCUUAUACAC
rnacentral:rRNA from 1 species